GGGUAGCGGAACACGUACGCAACUUACCCAAAACUGAUGAAUAGCCCUCCGAAAGGAGGAUUAAUACAUCGUAACCUAUUGAAGUGGCAUCACUUUAUUAGUGUAGCUCCGGCGGUUUUGGAUGGGCGUGCGGCUGAUUAGAUAGUUGGCGGGGUAACGGCCCACCAAGUCUGCGAUCAGUAACUGGUGUGAGAGCACGACCAGUCACACGGGCACUGAGACACGGGCCCG
rnacentral:rRNA from 1 species